GAAAUGCGAUAAGUAAUGUGAAUUGCAGAAUUCAGUGAAUCAUCGAAUCUUUGAACGCACAUUGCGCCCGCCAGUAUUCUGGCGGGCAUGUCUGUUCGAGCGUCAUUACAACCCUCAGGCCCCCGGGCCUGGCGUUGGGGAUCGGCGGAAGCCCCCUGCGGGCACAACGCCGUCCCCCAAAUACAGUGGCGGUCCCGCCGCAGCUUCCAUUGCGUAGUAGCUAACACCUCGCAACUGGAGAGCGGCGCGGCCACGCCGUAAAACACCCAACUUCUGAAUGUUGACCUCGAAUCAGGUAGGAAUACCCGCUGAACUUAAGC
rnacentral:misc_RNA from 1 species